rnacentral:lncRNA from 1 species
CCCUAGAAAAUAAUUUAGUAUGCGUCCACUAGACCAAUUGCACCCUCCUCAAUUUUGCUCUAGGUUCGCCACUGUGAUGGAGAUCCAAUCCAAUAGCAAGCAACAGAUGAGCAGAUCCAGUUACAGCUAGCUAGCUUUGUAUGAUAUGGCGUACGUUGACUUGGAGGCUUAAUUGAUCACCCUGGCAUGUCCCUUACUGAUCUAUCGAGUUGACCUCCAUCGCCUCAGCCCUGCAUGAAGAAACACCCAACACGACACCGCCUAGCUAGCUAGCUGAUGAGCUGCCCAUUAGCCUUUGUGCUUUCUUUCCGUCUCUUCAGUUUGUCGUCCUUCUUCCUUCCCGCUUCCCGGCACCUUUGGUUCUAUGUUCUCAAAAGAAGUUCACAAAAGAAGGAAAGAAUGAAUAAACAGGCGCAUACGCCUCGUAGGGAUGACAAUAAACUCUAAAUUUUACACUAAAAGAUUUAAAGAUCGAAUCAUGUUAGGAUUGAAACUCUAUUUUUAUUUAUUUAUGAACUAAAUUAUAUUUAGUAUAUUAACAUUUUGUAAAGAAUUAUUUAGAUCAUGAUCCAUUAAACAUCCGGCGGAUACUCAAGCAUCGGUUCAAUGAUUUUUCUCAACUCUCUCUCUACCACUUGAGUCGGCAGGAGUAUCUCCGAUCAUUAUACUUGCUCUAACAGGCCUUUCAUCGAUUGGUUGGUAAUAUAAAGUUGGUACGUUGAGCCUCCACCAAAUGGCUCUACUACCUUGAUGGACGAUAGGUGAUGGAAUAACCGAUUUGGGGUUCCGAAUUCAAUGCUUCCAUGCGUAAGCUGCAAGGGAAUUUUUGCUACACCCUGUCCCUGCUCAUGGAUCACGAGCUAGCUAGCUAGCUUCUUCUAGCUAGCAUCCCUCCCAAUUAAGGCCUUUGAUUUGAGGGACUCUAUUUUAGUAUUAUUUAGUCCCUAAAUUACCAAACGACGUGACUAAAAUAAGGACUAAACUGUUUAGUCUCUACUCCCUCAAAAGGUGACUAAAAGAGACUAAAUCAUAUUAGCCCUCGUUUGGUUUCUUUAGUCACCUAACUAAAUUUUAGGGACUAAGAUUUAGUCACUAAAGUACCUUGUUUGGUUCUUGUGACUAAAUCUGACUAAAAAGCAUUAAUUGAUGCGAAUAAUGAUUGCAUUACCCCUAUUAAUUAGUUGAUUCCUGCUGUACUAAGAAAGAUGAGAGGGCAAAUGAGGUAAAAAUCCUACUUUAAUCCUUUUUAGUCGCCCCUUUGAGAACUUAAGUUUAGUCACCCCACUCUAGUCACCAUGUUUGCCUCUUUAGGACUAAAAAUGACUAAACUUUAGUCACUAAACUUUAAUCACCUAAAACCAAAUGGGGUCUUAAUUUCACUUUUCGCCCCUUCUUUAUUUCAGUUGCACUAAUGACGGGAAAAACACUAAGAGAUAUUUUGGUCCUCUUAUGAUUUAUUUAAUGCGUUCUGAAUACUUUUAGUCCUUAGAACUAAAUAUGGUAGAGACUAAACUUUAGGGGGUGUUUGGGAGUGAAGUUUUUUCACAGUUUUAGAAGAAUACUGCAGUAUUCUCAAAUACUGCAGUAUUAUAUACAUAAUGGUGUUUGACAAGUUGACUAAAAUCUCUGUUUUUAAAACUGAAGUAUUGCAAAUACUAUAGUUGUUUUAAGGUAUUCUAAACUUAGGCCCUGUUUGGCACUGUAGCUUUCAAAUACUACAGUAUAUCAAAACCAUAGUAUACAAGAUGUCGUGACAGAAAACCACAGUUUUAACAAAACAGUAGUAAAAACGUAGUAUUUCUUAAUACAUAGCCAUGUUUGGUAGCACAGUUUUUGGCUUGUUUAAAUUCAACCAUCAGCUCGACAUGAUUGGUAGCACAGUUUAAAUUCAAAUAGCAGUUACCAUCGGCUAGAGAAGUUCAAAAUAAAAUUAGUCCAUCGAAUACAUGAUGCAGCAACCAUCAACCGACAAAACAUUCUAGCAAAUACAAGAUAAUCAACCAAUGGUUAGAUGGAAAUCAUUCUCAGUUUUGUCCUCCUUCCCAACUCCUUGCCAGCUUGAUUCUGCCAUGAAUAGACAUGAAUAGAGAGGAGAAUGAACAGGUACUUACCAGUUCUAUCCUCCUUCCCAGCUCCUCGCAUGUGGUGCUGGCUCAAUGGACCACUGCACAAGCGAGAAGGGUGGCGGAGAGAUCCAGGGGAAGAGAACCUAGGGAGGGGUGGCCUGGAGGAGAUGAAUCUGGGCAGCCGGCAGGAGAAAGAGCUGGGGGCGGCGGGAGUGCGUUAGAAGAGUUGGGUGAUGGCGG